CAUCUCCGAGCUCCAGGUAUCUCUCUCUCCCAGUCUCCCUCUCCGUCUUCUUCUACUCCUCUUCCUCUUCUUCUUCUCUUCUUAUCUUCUUCUUCUUAAUCUGAUUGAAUCAUGAAUCACCCAUUUGAAAUUGAAAUUGAAUUCCUCAAAGUAAUGAAAUUGUAUGUAUGAAUGUAUCCUGAUAAUCUGAAUAUGUUGGUCUGGCCCAGAUUGGAGCUACUUUCAUGGCCAGGCGGCCAGCAGAAUCUAGAUGACUAGAUCGGGAAAAUCGAUCCCAUUGAUCUGCUAUGAUGCUUCUUUGCUUCGGUCAAUCUCGACCAAACGAUUACCUCAAUGAAAAUUGAAAUCCAGAAAGAAAGAGACGAGACGAAACAAAGAGAGAGAAGAGAGAACGGGGAAGAAGGAAAAGAAGGAGAAGAAGGUUUAGGGUCUUGAUUCAUCUACCCAUAAAAGGAUAAUUGAUUGAUUGAUUGUCCUAUUUGCACCGACUUCGGCGUUUACACCGACUUCAACUUUGUCAUCAAGAUCGAUCUUGAUCAAAAUUUGGUUUUCUAAGUUCUAUGCAAAGAAAUGUGUGCAUUAUUCUUCUGCCGCUGUUCCUGUGUACGUUGUUUGGCAUUAUCUCAGUCUCUUAUUCCUAUUCAGUUUUUGUUGGAUCUUUUGGACUGCUUGCUUUUGGUGCAAAGAGUUUUCUGAUCGGUGGGUUACAUUUUGAUAAACGGUGUCAGAUCUAUGCAUUUGUUUUUAUGCAGCUCAAAGAGAGAAGAUAAGUGAAGCUAAUCAAGGUAUGCUUUGGAUCUACAUAUGUGAUUAAUCUGGAGGUUGCUUGGGCUCCAUUUUGUUUAAGGAAAAGAGACUUUGUGUGGGACACUAAUUUUAUACUUUUUGUUCUUUUGGAAAGUCUCUUUUGAUAUUGAAAUGUUGACGUGUUGUUGUGGAGGAACCAAAAGAUAUCAGCUAGUGUUUUAACUGCUGCAUUUCAAC